rnacentral:rRNA from 1 species
GCGGAGGGAUCAUUACCGAGUUUACAACUCCCAAACCCAAUGUGAACGUUACCAAACUGUUGCCUCGGCGGGAUCUCUGCCCCGGGUGCGUCGCAGCCCCGGACCAAGGCGCCCGCCGGAGGACCAACCAAAACUCUUAUUGUAUACCCCCUCGCGGGUUUUUUUAUAAUCUGAGCCUUCUCGGCGCCUCUCGUAGGCGUUUCGAAAAUGAAUCAAAACUUUCAACAACGGAUCUCUUGGUUCUGGCAUCGAUGAAGAACGCAGCGAAAUGCGAUAAGUAAUGUGAAUUGCAGAAUUCAGUGAAUCAUCGAAUCUUUGAACGCACAUUGCGCCCGCCAGUAUUCUGGCGGGCAUGCCUGUCCGAGCGUCAUUUCAACCCUCGAACCCCUCCGGGGGGUCGGCGUUGGGGAUCGGCCCUCCCUUAGCGGGGUGGCCGUCUCCGAAAUACAGUGGCGGUCUCGCCGCAGCCUCUCCUGCGCAGUAGUUUGCACACUCGCAUCGGGAGCGCGGCGCGUCCACAGCCGUUAAACACCCAACUUCUGAAAUGUUGACCUCGGAUCAGGUAGGAAUACCCGCUGAACU